UGGCGGCGUGCUUAACACAUGCAAGUCGAACGGGAUCCAUCGGGCUUUGCUUGGUGGUGAGAGUGGCGAACGGGUGAGUAAUGCGUGACCGACCUGCCCCAUGCUCCGGAAUAGCUCCUGGAAACGGGUGGUAAUGCCGGAUGUUCCACAUGAUCGCAUGUGAUUGUGGGAAAGAUUCUAUCGGCGUGGGAUGGGGUCGCGUCCUAUCAGCUUGUUGGUGAGGUAACGGCUCACCAAGGCUUCGACGGGUAGCCGGCCUGAGAGGGCGACCGGCCACAUUGGGACUGAGAUACGGCCCAGACUCCUACGGGAGGCAGCAGUGGGGAAUAUUGCACAAUGGGCGCAAGCCUGAUGCAGCGACGCCGCGUGAGGGAUGGAGGCCUUCGGGUUGUAAACCUCUUUUGUUUGGGAGCAAGCCUUCGGGUGAGUGUACCUUUCGAAUAAGCGCCGGCUAACUACGUGCCAGCAGCCGCGGUAAUACGUAGGGCGCAAGCGUUAUCCGGAUUUAUUGGGCGUAAAGGGCUCGUAGGCGGCUCGUCGCGUCCGGUGUGAAAGUCCAUCGCUUAACGGUGGAUCUGCGCCGGGUACGGGCGGGCUGGAGUGCGGUAGGGGAGACUGGAAUUCCCGGUGUAACGGUGGAAUGUGUAGAUAUCGGGAAGAACACCGAUGGCGAAGGCAGGUCUCUGGGCCGUCACUGACGCUGAGGAGCGAAAGCGUGGGGAGCGAACAGGAUUAGAUACCCUGGUAGUCCACGCCGUAAACGGUGGACGCUGGAUGUGGGGCACGUUCCACGUGUUCCGUGUCGGAGCUAACGCGUUAAGCGUCCCGCCUGGGGAGUACGGCCGCAAGGCUAAAACUCAAAGAAAUUGACGGGGGCCCGCACAAGCGGCGGAGCAUGCGGAUUAAUUCGAUGCAACGCGAAGAACCUUACCUGGGCUUGACAUGUUCCCGACGACGCCAGAGAUGGCGUUUCCCUUCGGGGCGGGUUCACAGGUGGUGCAUGGUCGUCGUCAGCUCGUGUCGUGAGAUGUUGGGUUAAGUCCCGCAACGAGCGCAACCCUCGCCCCGUGUUGCCAGCACGUUAUGGUGGGAACUCACGGGGGACCGCCGGGGUUAACUCGGAGGAAGGUGGGGAUGACGUCAGAUCAUCAUGCCCCUUACGUCCAGGGCUUCACGCAUGCUACA
rnacentral:rRNA from 1 species